rnacentral:rRNA from 1 species
GACGAACGCUGGCGGCGUGCUUAACACAUGCAAGUCGAACGGAAAGGCCCUGCUUUUGUGGGGUGCUCGAGUGGCGAACGGGUGAGUAACAUGUGAGUAACCUGCCCUUGACUUUGGGAUAACUUCAGGAAACUGGGGCUAGUACCGGAUAGGAGCUCCUGCUGCAGGGUGGGGGUUGGACAGUUUCGGCGGUUGGUGAUGGACGCGCGGCUUUUCAGCUUGUUGGUGGGGUAGUGGCUUACCAAGGCUUUGACGGGUAGCCGGCCUGAGAGGGUGACCGGCAACAUUGGGACUGAGAUACGGCGCAGACUCCUACGGGAGGGAGCAGUGGGGAAGAUUGUAAAAUGGGCGGAAGCCGGAUGCAGCAACGCCGCGUGCGGGAUGACGGCCUUCGGGUUGUAAACCGCUUUCGCCUGUGACGAAGCGUGAGUGACGGUAAUGGGUAAAGAAGCACCGGCUAACUACGUG